CAGCAGCCGCGGUAAUACGUAGGUCCCGAGCGUUGUCCGGAUUUAUUGGGCGUAAAGCGAGCGCAGGCGGUUUGAUAAGUCUGAAGUUAAAGGCUGUGGCUCAACCAUAGUUCGCUUUGGAGACUGUCAAACUUGAGUGCAGAAGGGGAGAGUGGAAUUCCAUGUGUAGCGGUGAAAUGCGUAGAUAUAUGGAGGAACACCGGUGGCGAAAGCGGCUCUCUGGUCUGUGACUGACGCUGAGGCUCGAAAGCGUGGGGAGCGAACAGGAUUAGAUACCCCAGUAGUCCCUGUCUCUUAUACA
rnacentral:rRNA from 1 species